AACGAACGCUGGCGGCAGGCCUAACACAUGCAAGUCGAGCGCGCCCUUCGGGGUGAGCGGCGGACGGGUGAGUAACGCGUGGGAACGUUCCCUUCUCUGCGGAAUAGCCUCGGGAAACUGAGAGUAAUACCGCAUACGCCCUUUGGGGGAAAGAUUUAUCGGAGAAGGAUCGGCCCGCGUUGGAUUAGGUAGUUGGUGGGGUAAUGGCCCACCAAGCCGACGAUCCAUAGCUGGUUUGAGAGGAUGAUCAGCCACACUGGGACUGAGACACGGCCCAGCCUCCUACGGGAGGCAGCAGUGGGGAAUCUUAGAAAAUGGGGGCAACCCUGAUCUAGCCAGGCCGCGUGAGUGAUGAAGGCCUUAGGGUUGUAAAGCUCUUUCAGCUGGGAAGAUAAUGACGGUACCAGCAGAAGAAGCCCCGGCUAACUCCGUG
rnacentral:rRNA from 1 species